CGCCACCGUCCAGACUACUGUGACUGAGCCUGGCUGCUAUCACUGUGUAGCCAAACAGUUGGAAAAGUGGCAUCGGAUUUCUUCAGAGAUCUGUGUGCAUCAUGGGCUCCCUGAAUGGGCUGCCGCACUCAUCGGUGUUCUUGUUGUUUUAUUAUUGCUUUAGUGAUUGCCCUUGCAGUUACAGCAUACUGUUUGAAGAAAGAUUCACAAAGAAUGGAAAAUGGCCGCUCCUCAGAGCUGCACAGAAAUCUCACCUCUGAACAACCUUAAAA